CCCUUAGAUGUUCUGGGCCGCACGCGCGCUACACUGAUGCAUUCAACGAGCCUAUCCUUGACCGACAGGUCCGGGUAAUCUUUGAAUCUGCAUCGUGACGGGGAUAGAUUAUUGCAAUUAUUAAUCUUCAACGAGGAAUGCCUAGUAGGCGCAAGUCAUCAGCUUGCGUCGAUUACGUCCCUGCCCUUUGUACACACCGCCCGUCGCUCCUACCGAUUGGGUGUGCUGGUGAAAUGUUCGGAUCGGCCGUUUGUCGCGGUUUCCGCGGCUCGUGGCUGCGAAGUUCAUUAAACCCUCCCACCUAGAGGAAGGAGAAGUCGUAACA
rnacentral:rRNA from 1 species